rnacentral:ncRNA from 2 species
UAUUAUUUAAACGGGUGCAUAUGCUGCUGAGAUGAUACCGUUUUAACUCGAUCAAGUUAAUACUUGCGUGAGGAUUAUUUGAUAUUGUUGA